rnacentral:rRNA from 1 species
AAUGAACGCUGGCGGCAUGCCUAACACAUGCAAGUCGAACGAAGGCUUCGGCCUUAGUGGCGCACGGGUGCGUAACGCGUGGGAAUCUGCCCUUGGGUUCGGACUAACAGGUAGAAAUGACUGCUAAUACCGGAUGAUGUCGUGAGACCAAAGAUUUAUCGCCCAAGGAUGAGCCCGCGUAGGAUUAGCUAGUUGGUGGGGUAAAGGCCCACCAAGGCGACGAUCCUUAGCUGGUCUGAGAGGAUGAUCAGCCACACUGGGACUGAGACACGGCCCAGACUCCUACGGGAGGCAGCAGUGGGGAAUAUUGGACAAUGGGCGAAAGCCUGGUCCAGCAAUGCCGCGUGAGUGAUGAAGGCCUUAGGGUUGUAAAGCUCUUUUACCCGGGAUGAUAAUGACAGUACCGGGAGAAUAAGCUCCGGCUAACUUCGUGCCAGCCGCCGCGGUAAUAC